UGAGAUAGUUGAGCAGUCGCUGUGAUUUAAACCACAGAGGAAAGUCCGAGCUCCUCUGGGAGAUGAUGCCCGUUAACUGCGGGGCGGGGUGACCCGACGGAAAGUGCAACAGAAAAUAUACCGCCUUGAAAAAGGUAAGGUUGAAAUGGUGAGGUAAGAGCUUACCGCUUGUAUGGCAACAUCCAAGGCAAUGCAAACCCCAUCUGGAGCAAGGCCAAAAAGAGGAUCAAGGUUCUCCCAGACCAAAUCCACGGGUUAGCCGCUUGAGUCUCCGGGCAACCGUAGACCUAGAUAGAUGACUGCAAAAGAAUUGUAAAAUUUUGAACAGAACUCGGCUUAUAGACUAUCUCACAAA
rnacentral:RNase_P_RNA from 1 species